rnacentral:misc_RNA from 1 species
UGUGUCUGCUGCGAAUACCAUCAGCCAUCAAGCCUGACUCACUGUGAGACUGAAUUUGCUGACUUUAUUCAUGGCCAAAACCUAUCAACAGACAGCAAGGAUAUCCCAGCUAUGACAGCCCAUCAUCUUUCCAAGUUGGUUUUCGAUAGUGACGCUACGUUUGAAACGAACCGGACUCUAGUCGCCGGAUCGUCUUUCAAUCGGUUAAACCGAACUGAGAGAGCUGGAUUUAUGCGGCUGGAAUCUGUGGGCGCGUGAUGAAGUUACGUCACCAUCGCCGCCAUCAUCAUCAACAUCAUGGAACCAGAAUCGCGAUACAUUGUACAGGUGUUUGUGGGUGCCUUGUCACCCGAAUUCGAGGCGCUUUCCAUCGAAGCCCUCAAAGGUACGACGGCCGACGAGAUGGUGUGCUGCAUCGUCGACAAGUUGCAGCUUCCCUUGCCCGUCGAGUCUUAUGAGCUGGCCGAAGUGGUGGGCAAUGCCAUCGGCCAGGAAUGCAAGGAAAGGAGACUGGCAUCUCAGGAACUGCCUGUCGCCCUUAUGCUUCUCUGGCCAAAAGUGUCGUCGCCCGCCCAGGAGACAGCCUCCGCUCUGGCCGCUUUGGCUGCCCACCGAAAGCUUCUGCAGCGCUCCGUGUCCAGGACGAGUGAAACCCGUCCAAUCGAAAGAGCCGAUGCGGAUGAAUCGCAACAGUCGGAAUAUCGAUUUUACCUGCGCGAGAAACUCAACGACACGCUCUGGUCGGAAGCGCUCAACGCGGACCCUCAAGUGAUCCGAGACUACUUUUAUCGCUUCUUGUACCAGCCGCGGGAUCGUGAAUACCCCGACCUGUGCCAGUUGCCCGACUUGAACGAAGAGACUUUGAUGGACAACCUUCGCGCCCGUUUUCAGGCCGGCCACAUCUACACCUAUGUCGGGUCGAUCCUCAUCGCCGUCAAUCCCUUCAAGUUUUACCCUAUUUACAAUCCGAAAUACGUCAAAUUGUAUCAAAAUCGCCGACUCGGCGAGUUGCCACCCCACAUCUUUGCCGUCGCCGACGCCGCGUACAACGCCAUGAUGCGCGAUCGAAAACCCCAAUGCAUCGUCAUCAGCGGUGAAUCCGGUUCGGGCAAAACGGAGUCGACCAACUUCCUGCUUCAUCACUUGACGGCGUUAUCGCAAAAGGGAAGCCAAGGUUGUGGCGUAGAACAGACCAUAUUGAGUGCCGGUCCCGUCCUUGAAGCUUUUGGCAACGCCAAGACAUCGCACAACAACAACUCGAGCCGCUUCGGCAAGUUUAUCCAAGUCAACUAUCGCGAGAAUGGACAAGUUCACGGGGCGCUCGUGCAAAAGUAUUUGCUGGAAAAGACAAGAAUUUGCUUUCAAGCGAAAAAUGAGAGAAAUUACCACGUCUUUUAUCACUUGCUUGUCGGGUCGUCUGCACAGGAAAAACAGGCUCUUCAUUUACUACCCCCCGAAGCUUAUAGAUACUUGAAUCAGAGCGAUUACCAUAAUCUGGAUGAAGGCGAUGAGUGUUACGAGUUGUCACGACUCAAGCAAUCGAUGGAGUUUGUGGGAUUCUGUACCGAAACCCAACGGCGAAUUUUCGCAGUCUUAUCGGCCGUCCUUCACAUUGGCAAUCUCGAGUUCCAGCCAAAGAAAUCGACCUACAAUCACGAUGAGUCUGUGACGGUUAAAAACACGGCCGUCGUGGCUACAAUUGCCCAGCUUUUGAGAGUCAAAGAGGAGAUACUGCACCAAGCGCUCAUCUCCAAACGGGCCAGAGCUUCCGGAGAAACGCUCGUCAUCAACUACCGCAUGCCGGAGGCGAUUGCAGCGCGAGACGCAAUGGCAAAGUGCCUUUAUGGCUCGCUGUUUGAUUGGAUCGUUAUGCAAUUGAAUCACGCCCUCCUUGCCAAAAAGGAUGCAGACAAAAUGCAACGUGCCUACUCGAUUGGUGUACUCGACAUUUUCGGUUUCGAAGACUUCGGUCACAUGAAUAGUUUCGAGCAAUUUUGCAUCAACUACGCCAACGAGCAUCUACAGUACUACUUUAACCAGCACGUUUUCAAGUACGAACAGGAAGAAUACAAACGCGAAGGCAUCCACUGGGUCAAUAUCCAGUUUGUUGACAACACGGGCUGUCUACAGCUUUAUGAAUCCAAGCCCAACGGACUUCUUUGCAUACUGGAUGAUCAGUGCAAUUUCCCCGGCGCCACCAACGAGACGCUGUUGCAAAAGUUCAAUUCAGUCAACAAGGAUAACGAAUACUACGAAGUGCCUCAGAAGCGCGAGGCUGCCUUCAUCGUUCGACACUACGCUGGCAAGGUCAAGUACCAGUCAAAUGAAUUCCGCGAGAAGAAUCUAGACCUGAUGAAGGCCGAUAUCGUUGCCGUACUCAAAUCGAGCCAGUAUGCGUUCGUUCGUGAAUUGGUCGGUGGCGAUCCGGUAGCUGUCUUCCGCUGGGCUAUUUUACGCGCCUUUAUUCGGGCUUACUUUGCCUUCAUAGAGUCCGGCAAACGGCAUCGCGAAACACAUGCCUCAGGUCCGGAUAGCUUGACGGGCAAGGGGAAAAUUGGCGAUAGUGGACGCAAAAAUAGAGUAUCCAAAGCACGAAGCCGGCCUUCGAAAAAUUGGCGCAAUUUGGAAACGGUUAAAACGUUAGCCGGCCGGUUAGGCCACAGUAGUUCGUCUUUGAAUUCGUCCGUAAUCGCCAGCGUUUCUUCUUCGCACGAAAGAUUGACCAUUACGCCGUCGGGUUCGACAACAGUCACAAUUUCUUCGGCCAGUAGCCACCAGUCGAUCCGAGGCGAGAGCCUCCUUGUUGUUCACAAAAACGUCAAAAAGGCACAGACGGUCGGUGCACAGUUCCAGCAUUCGCUUCAGAGCCUCAUGGUAGCCCUGAACACGGCCAAUCCGUUCUUUGUCCGUUGCAUCAAGAGCAACCGACUCAAGGGUCCCAACCAAUUCGACGAGGAAAUCGUCCUCCGUCAACUUCGUUACACGGGCAUGCUUGAAACAGUUCGCAUCCGCCAAGCUGGUUUCAACGUUCGUUUAACUUUCGAAGAAUUCAUUCACCAUUACCGAAUCCUGUUACCUCGGGGAUUGUUGAGUUCGCAAUCGGAUGUGCACGAUUUCUUGUGUCGGAUGAAUCUCAAUCCGGAACACUAUCAGAUCGGCCAUCAAAAGAUCUUUUUGCGCGAGUCGGAGAAAGCCAAACUCGAUUACCGAUUGCAUCAAGCCAUUUUGGCCAGUAUUGUCACCAUUCAGCGGUGGUUCCGCACUUGUCUGGAACGGCGUAAUUUCCUUUCCCUUCGCAGGGCCGUUGUCCGCAUCCAGUCGUAUGUUCGUAUGAUCAACGCACAACGUCAUGUCAUGAACUUGCGCGUUCGUCACAUGGCCGCCACUUUCAUCCAGAAAGUCUGGCGCGGAUAUCGAGUCCGGCAUUGGUACACGAAUCUCCGCUGUUCAGUCGUAAGUUUCCAAUGUCGGGCAAGAGGCAAUCUGGCUCGAAGGCGAUUCGAACAAAUGAAACAGCAGGGAGACGCCCAUUCCGGCAAGAGCACCGACGAAGCUUUUCUAUCCAAAGGAUCGUCGCAGGAAGAGCUGGAUAAAGAAACAAAAGAUCUUAUCGAACAACUCAGUUCGGAGGAGAGUAGCGGUAUACAGGAGGAUAGCGAGUCGGAACUGAUUUAUGCUGAGCUUGCGUCGGGAAUAUUGUCCUGCGCGCUGAAUUUCCCGCUCCAGUCGAUGGACGAAAAGCGAGAUGAUCUCAAAUCGAAAAAAGGUAAACCAUCCAUAGUCACGGCGGCAGCCAACGUGGCCGGAGUGGCUGGAUCAGUCGGCCAUUCGCCUCGUAUCGGUUCCAUCGAAGAACUGCUCCGUGGCUCUGGCGAAAGUGGCCGCACUGAAAAAAGCAGCGCCCUGCACAAAGCCAAAAAACAUUUGAAGACGCUGAUGGGCGGUGGCGCCAAACGGGAGAAGAGCGAUUCACUCCGCCAAAUGGCCGUUCAGGGUAGCGAAGAUCGCGACAGCGACUCUGAAAGUACAUUGGUCUCAGCGUCGCGAUCCACGUCGACACUCAACUCCGCCUCUGAUCUAGAGUACGACAUGAGGUAUGCGAGGGAACGCGAAGCGAGACGUGAAGAGCGGCGCAGGAUAAUCGCAGAAAGGCUGGCCAUCCGAAGCCGGGCCAACAGCAUUUCAGAUGAAUCCCAUUCGCCCACGUGCCCCAAUCCGGUGCUAUGUCGACGUUACAGUCGCGAUAUCGAAGCGGCCUCAUCGUCCAUUUACGGCUACGGUCACUCACAUGGUCACCUACACCAAAGUCAUUGCUGGACCUACAGUCACGCCGUUACCAGCCAUUUACCAAUAGCAAGGCGAGGCAGCAAAGAUGGCGGCCGAAGUGUCAGUGUGGACGGCUCUUGGAGAGGCAGUCGGGACAGUCUGCGUGAAAGAGCAGUGGGAACAGCUGCCGGAAUGACAGCAUCUCCUCUGGCAAGACGUCAAGAUAGGGACUCUAGCCAAGCAUCAGUGGCUGUGUCGGUGACGUCUUCCAACUCCUCGUCUACGGCUACUGUCCGUUCCAGUUUGAGUCAAGUCCACAAGCUGACACGGAUGAGUAAGCUAGCCAAGAACGAGGCGUGUUCACUCUGUUCCAAGACCAUGAGCUCCUUCUUCACCCACGGCUACAAAUGCACGUCGUGUCACUUGGUGUUUCACGCUAAAUGCGUCCAGCAAGGCAUGACAUCGUCGCAGGCCUUGCCACCCACAGUCCUUGAAUGCGCCCGUCCUUCGGCAAGUCCGACCCAUCCGGAUCCGGAUCCUGUCCAGAAGGGCCGCAAAGGAAGCCGUGAAACGGUGGACAGCUCUGCGGGUGUCAUUCCUUCGGCUGGCAACGAGAGUAGCAAAUGGAAUUUGACGGGCACGAGUGAAUUUACCGAUUCGACCCAAGAAGUGGUUAACGGCGGCCAACAGUUACACAGGCUGGACGAAUUUAUCGGCCGCAAAAUUCAGAACCUGGUGGACGACACGCGAGGCGACGCUGACCGCGUCUUCCUCUCGGCAUUGCGGGAACUGAGAGGUUCGCUUAUAUCGGCUUAUGGAGUUGCCUCUUGCCACGGUGGAGAAGAGGAAAAUCCGGCUAUUCGAUUAACGUACCGCGACCUCAUUGCCAAUUUUAGCAAAAUUGUCGAGUCGGUGUCGCGUGACGACACGAAAUUCCCCAAAACGCUGGUGGUUAAUGCGUUUCGCGGCUAUCUCAAUGAAUUUGUAGUUCAACAGAGGACUGACGAUAAGGAAAACAGAGCCAAAGGUGGCAAAAGGAGAAAGGAACGGUGGAAGAAACCGACGACCGACAAGAAUCAACGGGGCAGAGAGACGAAACGGGCCAAGGCUCAGGACGAUGGAUUGCUUCGAUACAUGGGCCAUGAAUUCACCACGCUUAACAGCGUCAUUACCAUCCCGACGGCCUGCGAAGUCUGCUCCUCGUUCACGUGGCUAAAGGAGAAAGGACUGGUGUGUCAGAGCUGCAAAUUCACGUGUCACAAGAAAUGUUACACCCGAAUCACCACGGCGUGUACGGCGUCAGCAGCCACACCUUCGGCUGGAGCCGGUUCCAGUGGAGCUUCAUCAAUGUCGGCAACCAUCAGCAUGUCGGGCUUGCCCAACCCAUCGACCGAGUCGCCUGGAAGCCUUUUCGGCGUCACUCUGGACAAAUUGGUUGCGUCUAGUGGCGCCGCCAGCGGCUCUCAGCAGCGUCUUCCGCCCAUCAUCGAGAGGCUCAUCUCCACCAUUGAACUGGUCGGCUUGUACACGGAAGGGCUGUACCGCAAAUCGGGCGUUUCGUCCCGGGUCCAGCAACUCAAAAAACUGUUGGAAGAGGAAUGCGCUUCCAGCAAAGAAGGGGCGGCCAGCAUAGUCGAUUUGCAAGAGCAACCCAUUCACGUCCUGACGGCCGUCCUCAAAGCCUUUCUGCGCGAAUUGCCGCAGCCGUUGUUGACCUACGAGCGUUACGACGACUUUCUACGCGCCGCCGACAUCGUUGACACUAAAGAACGCAUCUCUUCGUUGAUGGCACUCGUUCAAGAGCUGCCUCCGCAUCAUUUCGAUUUGCUGGAGCGGCUCGUUUUCCAUUUGACUCGGGUAGCCCUGAACGAGAAGUCGAACCGGAUGGGCCCCAACGCGCUAUCCAUCGUCUUCGCGCCGUGCAUCCUGCGCACGUCCAAGAUCCAGCAAGCGCAGGACUCGCUGUCGAAUGUCAGCAAGCAAACGUCAGUGGUGGAGACGAUCUUGACGGAACAGUUGCGCCGCGUCACCGAAACUCUGGCAGACAUUGACUCGCUCGAUUCCGUCUGCCUCGCUUACGUCGCCCGUCUCGGCACGUUGCGCUCGUCCAAAAUGUUCCCGUCGUCCACUGGCGUCGGAACGUGGGUGUUGCCCCAGUCGGACCCCUCAACGCCCGACGGUGCGGCUGCCGUAGCCAAAAAUCAGCACCAACGCAUCUUCCCGACCGUUUCGGCUCCGGCCUCUUCGUCCUCCUCUUCGCUGUCGUCUCUCUCGGCCCGAGACCACGUCACCGAAGAGCGCCUAAUCCAGCAGCAUUUGGAAGAGUUGCGCGAAGAGAAGGCCGCUCUGGCCGCUACGUUGCCGUCGCUCGCUCGCACCCCUAGCGACGACGAUCUUCUGUCCACAGACGGCGAUUUGGACGAUCAGGACAGUCCCAUCGGUGGCAGCGUCGAUGACCUUCCGGCCAGCAGUCAAUCACGCUCUGAUUCGCGACCAAAAGCUGCUGACUUGUAGACUCACAAAAGUCUUCCCUCGCUCGUCUGUCUCUCGUAAUAGACAAAUUUGGUUUCGUCUCGUACACACACACGCGCACACGACAUUCAUUGUCUUGCCAGUGUCCGGUUGUCUAUCCGUGUCCACCUCAUCCUCCUCCUCCACCUACUCAUCCUCCUCAUGUCCCAUCAAAACGGCCGCGCCAACUGAAUCAGCGCCACCACUAGCAGCAGCACCACCUGCGGCGCCGA